CCUUCGGGGCAAGGAAACAGGUGGUGCAUGGUUGUCGUCAGCUCGUGUCGUGAGAUGUUAGGUUAAGUCCUGCAACGAGCGCAACCCUUGUUAUUAGUUGCUACCAUUAAGUUGAGCACUCUAAUGAGACUGCCUGGGUAACCAGGAGGAAGGUGGGGAUGACGUCAAAUCAUCAUGCCCCUUAUGUCCAGGGCUACACACGUGCUACAAUGGUAGGUACAAUAAGAGGCAAGACCGUGAGGUGGAGCAAAACUUAUAAAGCCUAUCCCAGUUCGGAUUGUAGGCUGCAACUCGCCUACAUGAAGCUGGAGUUGCUAGUAAUCGCGAAUCAGAAUGUCGCGGUGAAUACGUUCCCGGGCCUUGUACACACCGCCCGUCACACCAUGAGAGCUGGUAACACCCGAAGUCCGUGAGGCAACCGUAAGGAGCCAGCGGCCGAAGGUGGGAUUAGGGAUUGGGGUGAAGUCGUAACAAGGUAGCCGUAGGAGAACCUGCGGCUGGAUCACCUCCUUU
rnacentral:ncRNA from 1 species